AAGGCCUUAGCUUAACUAAAGCGCCUGUUUUGCAUGCAGGCAAUGUGGGUUAAUAUCCCGCAGGUCUUA
rnacentral:tRNA from 1 species